GAUCCGGUGGGUCUGCGUGGAAGGGCCAUCGCUCAACGGAUAAAAGCUACCCUGGGGAUAACAGGCGUAUCUCCCCCAAGAGUCCACAUCGACGGGGAGGUUUGGCACCUCGAUGUCGGCUCAUCACCUCCUGGGGCUGUAGUAGGUCCCAAGGGUUGGGCUGUUCGCCCAUUAAAGUGGUACGCGGGCUGGGUUCAGAACGUCGUGGGACAGUUCGGUCCCUAUCCGUCGCAGGCGUAGGAAAUUUGAGAAGACCUGUCCUUAGUACGAGAGGACCGGGAUGGACGUACCUCUGGUGUACCAGUUGU
rnacentral:rRNA from 1 species